AAAAGUUCUGCUUUUUCAUUUAAAAGGUAGUAAAAAGUUUGUUGGCAUUCUGGUAUAGUUUAUAAAAAAUUUAACUAGAUGUUUGUGCAUGUCUUGCUACAUGAGUAAUUUUCGCUCUUCUUGAAUGUGAAUGCGCACCUCAAAAUAAACUGUUACCUGCAAUCAUUUCAGCCAAAUCACUAGCAGAUGAUUAAUAAAAUAGGUUGCAGAUAAAAAAAGAGAAAAAAUGAAAUAAGCAGAACAAAAAGUAAAAUUAAGUGCUAUUUAAAAAUUGCAGAGAAAGCGUCACUAUCUCUGUAAUUCUUAUAAGUGACAGCUGUCCAACCGGCAGCAAUAAUUUGUUUGCAAUACUUAUUUGACAAGACUGUCCGUUGUUUAUCAAACAUUUCCUUUUCUUUUCUCCUAAUAUGUGAGUCAGACACUUUUUGACCUUCCUUAUUCUUAGAUAUGAACAUGUGACUGAGUUCUCGCCAAGUCUGGCUUUGAAAAAUGUCUCCCAGCAUUGCGUAUACCCUUUCUGCUCGAUAUUGGGCUGGCGUUGAAAACCUUAUCUCUGAAUGAUUGCUGUGACACAGAGGUCUCCCCUUCCCCUAAGGAUCAUCCUGCCCCUCCCACCAAAGGCAUUUGCUUGGGACUCUUAAGCAGAUGAACUCUAUUGGAUGGAAGGAUUCAAACAGAAAAAUACUAAGAGAAGUCUGAUGGAAAACUCUAGAAAAUCCAAGAAGGGAGCUAGCUGGUGAUGAGCAAAGCUACAUGUGCUGU
rnacentral:lncRNA from 1 species